CAUCAGCAUUGGUUUUACAUCUUGGAGUUGACCCUUAUAGAAUCGAUAGAGUAAUCAGAAAAUUUGGCAUGCCGAUGGGCCCUAAUCAAUUAGCUGAUCUGGUUGGUUAUGGUGUGGUUUCGGCGGCUAAUGUAAUAUAUUCCUCAGCUUUCAAGGGUCGAACUUUUGAAAGUAAUCUUCUGGAAAUGAUGAUACAAGAUGGCCGAAAGGGAAAAGAGAAUGGAAGGGGCUU